UACGUAGGGUGCGAGCGUUCAUCGGAAUUACUGGGCGUAAAGCGUGCGCAGGCGGUGAUGUAAGACAGGUGUGAAAUCCCCGGGCUUAACCUGGGAACUGCAUUUGUGACUGCAUCGCUGGAGUGCGGCAGAGGGGGAUGGAAUUCCGCGUGUAGCAGUGAAAUGCGUAGAUAUGCGGAGGAACACCGAUGGCGAAGGCAAUCCCCUGGGCCUGCACUGACGCUCAUGCACGAAAGCGUGGGGAGCAAACAGG
rnacentral:rRNA from 1 species